CGGACGGGUGAGUAACACGUGGAUAACCUACCUAUAAGACUGGGAUAACUUCGGGAAACCGGAGCUAAUACCGGAUAAUAUUUUGAACCGCAUGGUUCAAAAGUGAAAGACGGUCUUGCUGUCACUUAUAGAUGGAUCCGCGCUGCAUUAGCUAGUUGGUAAGGUAACGGCUUACCAAGGCAACGAUGCAUAGCCGACCUGAGAGGGUGAUCGGCCACACUGGAACUGAGACACGGUCCAGACUCCUACGGGAGGCAGCAGUAGGGAAUCUUCCGCAAUGGGCGAAAGCCUGACGGAGCAACGCCGCGUGAGUGAUGAAGGUCUUCGGAUCGUAAAACUCUGUUAUUAGGGAAGAACAUAUGUGUAAGUAACUGUGCACAUCUUGACGGUACCUAAUCAGAAAGCCACGGCUAACUACGUGCCAGCAGCCGCGGUAAUACGUAGGUGGCAAGCGUUAUCCGGAAUUAUUGGGCGUAAAGCGCGCGUAGGCGGUUUUUUAAGUCUGAUGUGAAAGCCCACGGCUCAACCGUGGAGGGUCAUUGGAAACUGGAAAACUUGAGUGCAGAAGAGGAAAGUGGAAUUCCAUGUGUAGCGGUGAAAUGCGCAGAGAUAUGGAGGAACACCAGUGGCGAAGGCGACUUUCUGGUCUGUAACUGACGCUGAUGUGCGAAAGCGUGGGGAUCAAACAGGAUUAGAUACCCUGGUAGUCCACGCCGUAAACGAUGAGUGCUAAGUGUUAGGGGGUUUCCGCCCCUUAGUGCUGCAGCUAACGCAUUAAGCACUCCGCCUGGGGAGUACGACCGCAAGGUUGAAACUCAAAGGAAUUGACGGGGACCCGCACAAGCGGUGGAGCAUGUGGUUUAAUUCGAAGCAACGCGAAGAACCUUACCAAAUCUUGACAUCCUUUGA
rnacentral:rRNA from 1 species